AGGCUUGUAUUUAACUAUAAUAUUUGAAUUGCAAUCAAAAGGUACUUUAUAAGUCUAGCUUA
rnacentral:tRNA from 1 species